CGCAUCCAUCAUCGAUGGCCUUUCAGUUCGACUUCUUCUCGAUUUCGCUUCUCUCUCGCCAUUCUCACCUUUUGGGUAUUUUGGAACCUAGGUUUUUUUUCUCUCCCGCAUCGCUAUUUUACUUGUUGUUUAGUGUUGCCAUCAUUCUCCAGAUCGGCAGGCCGAUAGAACCCGGCGAGGUCAGCAUGUGCUUCUAUGGAAUUACCGCCCGUGAUCUCAGCCAUGCUCGCGCCGCCGUCAAUUUCGUUGUUCUGUUCAGGAAACUCUGGUGUUCUUAUUUAGGGGUUUUGCUGAAGGAUUUUGCAGGAGGACUCUCUUUGGAAUGGCCAAAUGUUGUUGUUUGUCGGGUGGAUGCCUUGGAAGCAGAGUUAAUUGCUACUAAAAAGGCAAAAAUUACAGAGGAGCUUAUUUGUUGGAGAUUUAAAGAGUAAAACUUAGCAGCGCGGUACCGCUGGAAAUGGUAAUUGUUAAUCAGAUUUCCACUCUUUUUUCCACAUACUUUGGUUCAAAAGCAAUAUCAUUUGAAUGAUGAAACAUUAAGUUAGCAUCUCAAGCGAACGAUAUUUGCCACUUCCCUUUUAAAUGAAUUUUAAGAUCAGCUUCAGUCUAUGUUUGUUUAAUUAACAAUGUUGUAUCAUUCCUUAUAUAGUUUCACAAAGAUCGGGCAUAAUUCUUGCUGAACUUGGUUUGGUUUUCUUUUGUUUAGGGAUAGAUUGAGUGAAUCACAGUUCGACCAAGUCUUGAAUGAUGAAUUGAGCCAGAUCAUUGAGGUCUCUUUGUCAAGUUAAAUUUUCAUUAUACUUUUUAUUUGUAAUGCUCAGUUCUUCUCUCAAACAUUGCUUAUGAAGUGAAUGAAUUUGCAUAAGUUUGAAUAAAUUUCUAAUCCCGCAGCAACGAGUUAUAUAUACUAAAACUUAGUUGAGUUUUAGCACUGUUCAGAAAUAGUAAAAGGGCGGAAAUGCCCUUGAUUUGUUUGGGGUUUAGGUGCUGCUGAAUUACUUUGUACAGUUAAAUGUCAUUUUUGCCCCCCACUAGGUGGGCUGUCUUCAGCUGCCUGAAAAGUCCUAGGCCUUUUUUAUCUCGCCUGUUGAGGGAUUUGGUUUAUUUUCUCGCCGUUCUCAUCAAUUUUCUACCUACCUCAAACUGCUCUCUCAUCUUUUCAUCUCUCUCCCAAAUUAUCUGUGCGAAAUCAGUGAGCCUAUUUUUGGUUGCUGGAAAAAAGUUUGGUUGCUACAAAUUUCUUGCGUUCAAAAUUCCUCAUUCGCUACGAAUUUUGUUCCUUUUUUGGAUUUAUCAGAAUCAAUUUUUUUGUGUCAGAGGUAUACAGUCCUGGAAGGAAAAGAAAGUCAAGUAUACGAAUGAGUUAGAAAGUAAGGUGUGACUAUUUUGAAGCACCUGUGAUGCUGCUGUUAUAUUUUGGGUACGUUUUCUGUCCUGCUUUUUUCCAGUUUGGAGAUGCACUGAUAAUUGUUGGAUUAAAAUGGAUUUGUAUUUUUUGGGAAGAAAUGAGAGGAGUUGUUGGAAUUUUAGAAAGCUUGUGUUUCUACCUUUUAUGUGACAGAGGGAAUACAGACAGGGAGAGGAAGAGAGAAAACAUUAGUUUAGAUUGCAAUUUUAAAAGUUUUUAUGUUGUUAGUGUUGGAACCAAUGUAUUUUGUUGGGAAAUUGAUAAUAUUUAAAGUUAUUAGGAUUUUGGAAAGAUUUGUCUUUCUCAGUUUUAUCUGCCUGAGGGAACACAACUCUUACAUAUAUGAUUUCAAGUUGUCCCUUUAGAAAUUCAAGCUCUAUUGAAUACAUGAGGUGUAAGAAACUGUUUGGGAUAUUUUCAAGUUUUUCUGAUUC